GCUUGUGUUUCAAAGCCCAAACAUCAAGUAAACAGCACGAAUCACAGAAGGUGAAGACUGAGUUCUAGUUUCAUUGAAGGGAUGUUCUUCCCCAUAGACUUUCCUUUUUCUUUUGAGCUCACCAGUAUAAAGCCCUUGGAUUUCUCUGUAUACUAGUAUACAAUUUUCCAGUGAGUUGGCUGCUCACAGUUUUUCUCUUUUUCACCACAGAAUCGAUUGUAAGUUGUUUUUGGAUCAAAUCCCAAGAUCUCCCUUUCCUCAUGAAUCCGAAAGGAAAAUGUUGAAACUGAGGUGCCUAUAAAAUACCUAGCAUGUGCACAGAUCCACUGGUCAAUCACAGCCAUUCCCCCAUCUUUGUACAGUUCUAGCUCCUCCCAAGUAGGUUCAAACCUCACCAUCUCAGGCACCAGUUUCUUGAGCAAUUCAAUCUCAUCCUCAACAGCAUCAGUGGCUAUGAAAACUUUUUCAAGUUUAUGCGUUUUCAAGAGGCUGUGGAUUUUCUUUGCUGCUCCGUGCAGGGAAGGCACAUCUUCUCUGUGACCCCAGAUGAAAUCUUUCCUUCUGAGAUGAACCCCAAGGUAUGGACCACCUAGAGCUGUGCCUGUCUUAACCUUCAUCUGUGUCCAGUCCUCAUUGUAAUGAGUCCUGUCUGCCUCGUCUGUGGACUGAAGGUACUUGUUUCUAAACUCAUCUCCUGCUACACGGAGAUGUUUAGCAAAUACCAUACUUCGACGGGUAUUCCAAUAAUCUUUCCC
rnacentral:lncRNA from 1 species